UACGUAGGGACCAAGCGUUGUCCGGAAUCAUUGGGCGUAAAGAGCUCGUAGGCGGCUUAGCAAGUCGGGUGUGAAAACUCCAGGCUCAACCUGGAGACGCCACUCGAGACUGCUAUGGCUAGAGUCCGGUAGGGGACCACGGAAUUCCUGGUGUAGCGGUGAAAUGCGCAGAUAUCAGGAGGAACACCGGUGGCGAAGGCGGUGGUCUGGGCCGGCACUGACGCUGAGGAGCGAAAGCGUGGGGAGCAAACAGG
rnacentral:rRNA from 1 species